GCACUUGUCUGAAGCUUUGAUUGGAACUGGAGGAUCCACUUCCCAGGUGACUCUCAAAUGGCUCACAUACUGGUUGGGAUUGUUAGUUGAAGGCCCCAGUUCCUCCUUGGUAACCCUCUCUACAGAAUUGUUUGAAUGCCCUCAUGGCCUGGCAGCCUAGCUUCCACAAGAACAAACAGUCCAAGAUGCCAAGGCAGAAGCUGAAAUUCCUUUUAUAACCUAGCCCCAAAAGUUACCUUUGUCACGUCUACUGUACUCUAUUGGUUAUGCAUGUUCUGUUGGAGGAAGGAGACUAUGGAACGGCAUGAAUAUCAAAAGGCCAUGAUCACUGGAGCCAUCUUGGAGGCUGGCUAUCACAACACUCACCUCACUGCUAUCAGAGUGAUCCCUUAAACAUGAACCUGUCUAAUUAAAGUGGAAAUGGUGAAGAUACACUGUGGAUAGAGGAAUUGAGAAGAAUGGUGGUGAAGGCCUGAAAGAGAAUGGAAGAUAAAGCAGCAAUUUACUAUGGGCAUCAAACAGAUACGUCGAAUGACAUUGAGGGUUUCACUGAAGACCAGUGGAGAUAAACUGUGUAGGUGCCCUCAAGAUGUGUACAACCAUGGAACAGGAGACUAGAAGGACUCGUGGAUCCCAACCAUGGAUGAGGUUCCCCAGUAUGAGCCACGCUGAGAAACUGCUGGAGCACCAAAGUUUUACCUAUAGAUGCUUAAUGGACCAAUGCUUUCUGACUGAACUGCUCUCUACCCUGAAUACAAGAGACCCCAAUAGCCAUAAUUGCCCUGCAAUGGAUCAUGGAUCCCAGGCUGCUUCUGGACAGGCUCCAGACUCACUGGAGACAUCCUGACACAUAAUGCUUCGCCCAGCACAAUGCGAUGCCCUUUACCUAGUAAAAGGGUGAGUCCCGUAAAGGUGCUGCCUUCCCCCCAGAACAAACAAGGGAAAUGCAUCAGGAGAGCUCAGCUGCAGACAGAAUGCACAUCAUGAAGCAGGAGCCACCCUGGGAUUCCUCAGAUGAAAGCCAAUUUCAAUGAACAUUGUGUUUCAAAGCCCGCUUCCUCUUGCUCGUCAAAUGCCAACUACAUGAUGUUGCUUUCCAUGACUCAUAUUUGGAGGUUUUCAGGCACCCUAUGGAGCAGUCUGUCCCUCCUGGCUCAUCUGGGGCAAUAUGAGAGCAAAUGGGGCUAGAACAAAACUGGAUGAAAGGAGAAACUCUGGGGCUGCUGAAUUCACAUGCCGAUGGUGCUGGGGAAAGAGGCAGAGCCCUUCAUAACAGAGCUCAGUAAAGGUGUGUACCUGGCCCAGGAGUUGGAGAAGCUUCAGGAGGAUCCAUCCAGGGGAAGGUGGAACAGUUGCAGGCCCAGCUGCUGUCUCAUGCAAGAGGUGAUCCAGCAGCGAAGAGACAUAUAUAAGGAUAUGGUAGUACUAACAGGAAACCUAGAACUUUAGCUUUCAAGACAUGCUCCUGAUUCUCUUUGUGUAGAAGCAGCCUAGAUUGAAUCACUGCCUUCUUUGCCUGUUGAUUCAAUGGCAUGAGUCAAAGCGGUCAGGUGGCACUCCAGAUCAACCGAGUCAUCAUAUGUCCCCUGACAGAAGAACUCCUCCUUUUGGAACUAAGACCUCUUUACCACCCGAGCCUGAUGUCACAGGGACUGGAAGCAAUCGUUUGUUAGUGAACUGCUAGGGAUAAUAGUGAGAAGAUCCUGUCCUAUUUCCACCCCUUGAUCCCCGUACGCAUGAGUUCUGGCUAAGGAAGAAACAGAAAUAUAUGUUGGAUGCUGAUCUAGAGCAUACUUUGCAUCCUAAAAGACCAUACAUGAGUCUCCAAAAGGACAUUCCACCAUUCUAUCAAGCCAGCUGCUUCAGGGUGACGGGGAACACGAGAAGGAAUCAGAAAAGCUGAAGGAGGAUACAUGGGAAGAUGAAACAGCUGCAAGCCUGGCCACUGCCCACACCAAGGAAAGAAGACUGAUGUCAACUUUUGUCUCGUAAUACACGAAUCUAUGAGUUUCUCUCAGAAAAUGGUUGUCUGCCAACGCUAACUGGCCAGCUCUGACAGGAGGUGCGUGGCCCAGGAGGAGCCAUCAGGCCAGUUCUCUGGGAUACUGCUGUGUCUCCAGCUCUGCAGUUUGCUCUUCGUCACUCAGCGGCAGACGGAGAGGCAGACACGAGCCCCUUGUGAGCCCUCCUCCUUACCGUCAUCUCACAAUGCUCUGAAAUAAGGAGGCAAAUGGCUGAGGUCCCCUCAGUUGUAGAUGUGAUUGAGUUCUAUCUACCAGAAGCAUAUGCCUCCUGGAAGCCUGGUUCUAACACCUCCCACAAAAUCCUUCAAGCACUUUUUUCUGUUCCAAGGUUUGCUUAUGGGGGACCCAGUGAAGUGCUUCAGAGCCCUAGAGAUUUGCUGAGUCAUAUGAGGGGUCAGCAAACUUUUCCUGUAAAGGGUCAGAUAAUAAACAUUUUAAGCUUUGUAGACUGUA
rnacentral:lncRNA from 1 species